UACGUAGGGGGCAAGCGUUGUCCGGAAUCAUUGGGCGUAAAGCGCGCGUAGGCGGCCCGGUAAGUCCGCUGUAAAAGUCCAGGGCUCAACCCUGGAAAGCCGGUGGAUACUGUCGGGCUAGAGUCCGGAAGAGGCGAGUGGAAUUCCUGGUGUAGCGGUGGAAUGCGCAGAUAUCAGGAAGAACACCAACGGCGAAGGCAGCUCGCUGGGACGGUACUGACGCUGAGACGCGAAAGCGUGGGGAGCGAACAGG
rnacentral:rRNA from 1 species